CAAUAGCGUAUAUUUAAGUUGUUGCAGUUAAAAAGCUCGUAGUCGGAUUUUGGCUGAGAACGAUCGGUCCGCCGUUAGGUGUGCACUGAUUGGUCUCAGCUUCCUGGUGAGGAGGUGUGCUUCACGGCCACUUAGUCACCGUGGUUACUUUGAAAAAAUUAGAGUGUUCAAAGCGGGCUUACGCUUGAAUAUAUUAGCAUGGAAUAACACCAUAGGACUCCUGUCCUAUUUCGUUGGUCACGGGACGGGAGUAAUGAUUAAGAGGAACAGUUGGGGGCAUUCGUAUUUCGUUGUCAGAGGUGAAAUUCUUGGAUUUAUGAAAGACGAACUUCUGCGAAAGCAUUUGCCAAGGAUGUUUUCAUUGA
rnacentral:rRNA from 1 species